UGCCGCCAAUUUCUCGGCAUUUCCAGCGGUUCAAACGUUUCUUCUGGGUUUUAGGCAAUUGCCUGGGUUUCCGUUAUUUGAAAAAAAAGGUGUUAAAUCGCCAGAUCAAUCUAGUGGAAGGGGUGAGUCGGCCAGUGAUUUCGAGAUGAGUGCGACACCUACGUGCAUCAACGUUUAGUGGACCUAAAGGACAUCGUCAGCACCGAGAUUUGCCAGCUGGAAACGCAGUGGGGCUACACGCAAUGGAGGCACGCGUACCACUCGUCCUAGACAAAGAAACGUCCUCCGUGCUUCCGACGAACUUCAAUCGGCGCGAAAUUCCUAAACCUCGAGUCACGAGUUCAUUCAGAGUAAAAUAGCAUGCCGAGGAAAAAUCACUGUUCGGGACGAAAAGUGGAGUUCAGUAAUUUAGAUAAAGCCGGCCGUCACAAAAGCAUAUUUUUCUUGUUUUUGCCCUCCUGCCAUGGAUUUCCUCGGCCUCCAAAGCGGGAUGCAGCUGCGACUGCUACUUCUAAAGUGUGUAAAAGUAAUGAACCUAUAGGACGAUAAGUCGUGAUCUCGAUUAACUUCGCCACGAGGUUGCGAACUUAAUGAAAAUGUUCCUGUCGGUGUUCUUGUUGUCCAUGAUCGGCCCGUUUUUUU